AUUGAACGCUGGCGGCAUGCUUUACACAUGCAAGUCGAACGGUAACAGGUUAAGCUGACGAGUGGCGAACGGGUGAGUAAUGCAUCGGAACGUGCCCGAUCGUGGGGGAUAACGUAGCGAAAGCUGCGCUAAUACCGCAUACGAUCUGAGGAUGAAAGCGGGGGACCGUAAGGCCUCGCGCGAUCGGAGCGGCCGAUGUCAGAUUAGGUAGUGGGUGGGGUAAAGGCUCACCAAGACAACGAUCUGUAGCUGGUCUGAGAGGACGACCAGCCACACUGGGACUGAGACACGGCCCAGACUCCUACGGGAGGCAGCAGUGGGGAAUUUUGGACAAUGGGCGAAAGCCUGAUCCAGCAAUGCCGCGUGCAGGAAGAAGGCCUUCGGGUUGUAAACUGCUUUUGUACGGAGCGAAAAGGUUCUCUCUAAUACAGAGGGCUCAUGACGGUACCGUAAGAAUAAGCACCGGCUAACUACGUGCCAGCAGCCGCCGUAAAAC
rnacentral:rRNA from 1 species